UUACCUGGACGUAAGACCUGCAGUGCACAUUGCUAGGAAUGGUGGCUGAGAUGAAGAGCAGGAUUUCAGUCAUUGUUUCUAGUAGUGCGCGCUGCAGAUAUUCAGCUUUACUAAAC
rnacentral:precursor_RNA from 8 species